UACGGGAGGCAGCAGUGGGGAAUAUUGCACAAUGGGCGAAAGCCUGAUGCAGCUAUGCCGCGUGUAUGAAGAAGGCCUUAGGGUUGUAAAGUACUUUUCAUCGGGGAGGAAAAAACAAAACUAAUAAUUUUAUUUCUUGACGUUACCCGAAAAAGAAGCACCGGCUAACUCCGUGCCAGCAGCCGCGGUAAUACGGAGGGUGCUAGCGUUAAUCAGAAUUACUGGGCGUAAAGAGCACGUAGGUGGUUUUUUUAAAGUCAGAUGUGAAAUCCCUGGGCUUAACCUGGAAACUGCAUUUUGAAACUAAAAUACUAGAGUAUCGUAGAGGGAGGUAGAAUUCUAGGUGUAGCGGUGAAAUGCGUAGAUAUCUGGAGGAAUACCUGUGGCGAAAGCGGCCUCCUAAACGAAUACUGACACUGAGGGUGCGAAAGCGUGGGGAGCAAACAGGGAUUAGAUACC
rnacentral:rRNA from 1 species